CACCUGCGCGAAGGAUCAUUACAGAGUGUAGGGUCCCUAGAGAGCCCAACCUCUCACCCGUGUUUACUGUACCUUAGUUGCUUCGGCGGGCCCGCCAUUCAUGGCCGCCGGGGGCUCUCAGCCCCGGGCCCGCGCCCGCCGGAGACACCACGAACUCUGUCUGAUCUAGUGAAGUCUGAGUUGAUUGUAUCGCAAUCAGUUAAAACUUUCAACAAUGGAUCUCUUGGUUCCGGCAUCGAUGAAGAACGCAGCGAAAUGCGAUAACUAGUGUGAAUUGCAGAAUUCCGUGAAUCAUCGAGUCUUUGAACGCACAUUGCGCCCCCUGGUAUUCCGGGGGGCAUGCCUGUCCGAGCGUCAUUGCUGCCCAUCAAGCACGGCUUGUGUGUUGGGUCGUCGUCCCCUCUCCGGGGGGGACGGGCCCCAAAGGCAGCGGCGGCACCGCGUCCGAUCCUCGAGCGUAUGGGGCUUUGUCACCCGCUCGGUAGGCCCGGCCGGCGCUUGCCGAACGCAAAUCAAUAUUUUCCAGGUGACUCGAUCACGAGUUCCCUUCAAA
rnacentral:rRNA from 1 species